AAACACACGAGGACGAUUAGUUCCUGGGUCAUGACCUCUUACCCCGACGUCAGCUUCUGCUCUUGACUGUUUUUUGAUGUUUUUGAUAAGAUUGUAACCAAGAAAUCAGAAUGGUGACUGACGUACAACUAGCCAUCUUUGCCAACAUCUUAGGAGUGAGUCUAUUCCUCCUGGUUGUUUUAUAUCAUUUUGUUGCUGUCAACAAUCCCAAGAGCAAAACAGAAUGAGCUCAGUAUUCUAGGUGUAAAUAUCCUGUACAGAUUGAAUUUUAUGACCCCCUUGCGAAUCAUCAGUGCUACAAGAGCAUCAACAGAGGCAAGAAACCAUCAUGUUCAGAUGACUGAGAUGAAAGUAACCUCUUUCUCAAACCAACUGACAUUACCCUUCAGCAACAGACGAUGUACAGUGUUCACACUAGUCCUGGGAUUUACCAAUGGUAGCAUGGUGCAAGACAUACAAUCUUCUUCAGUGUGAACAUGUCGCAAUGUCGCCUGGAAAAACAUUGUACCCCAAAACAUGAAGUGCUUGGUUCCAAUAUUAUAACCAUCUUUGUAACCUAACAGAAUGUUGUUGACCAUAAUGCUAGAGCCCCACCUACGGAAUCAACCUAAAGUCAAACCCUGCCAAUGAUAUGCUGUUCCGAGACAAUGUAAUGUCUUUGGUGGGUCAAAGGUCAGUUUGUGUCACUAUAGCAUUACAGCAUAAGUGUCCAAGAUCAGAGGUCGGUUUAUUACCGGUUAUGGUGGCAGCAACGUUUCAUUGUCCAGAAUUGAUUCCAA